UUGCUGUCACCACUAAUCACCGCCACUGCAUCUUUUGGUUUUCCUGUAUUAUGCAACUCAUUCUCUACCUGUUAUUAUUUUCAAUUGAAAAUCAAACUCCAUACCCAAUGCCCAGGAAGUGGAAGGAUAUUGUGGAUGAAUGGGUGAAGUUGAAUCAACCUGGGGAACACAUCCUCUGCUUUAAUGGCUGAUGGAGACUCACCUGAGCAGAAAGUUACUCAAAAUGGUUAUCACCAGGUUCCUGCUUUUGCUUACUCUCCAAAUCCACACAGUGAGUAGUAGAAUCAGAUUCCAAGUUCAACUUUUGAGCUUUGUGUGAGUGUGUUUUUGUUUGGAGUUUGAAUGAUCCAACUUGCUUGCACAGAUGGGAGUUCUG